rnacentral:rRNA from 1 species
UCUCUUGUGUUCCAUCCGCAAGUUUCCUUAAUGGUCCAAGGAAAAUCCGAAGUACGAAGUGUCUCUUUGUACUUGUUUUUUUCCUUGGCCCAAUGACUGUAAACACCUACUAAUACUGCAUAUUCUGAGGAUAAAAAGGUGGAAUCUGCGCGAGGAGGGGCUCAUGUCUGAUUAGCUAGUUAGUAAGGCAAUAGCUUGCCAAUGCGAUGAUCAGUGGCUGGUCCGAAAGGAUAAUCAGCCAGACUAAGACUAAUACACGACCUAGACUCCUACGGUAGGAAGCAAUGGGAACUUUCUGCAAUUAACGAAAGCUAGAUAGAGAAAUGCGAUGUGGAGGUAGAAGCCCCACGGGUUGUGAACUUCUUUUCUCGAAGAAGACGAAAAAAAGGUAUAUGAGGAAUAAGCAUUGACUAAAUCUAUGCCAUAAAUCUCACUAAUGCAGAAGAUUCAAGAAUUUUCUUCAAUGAAUUGGUGUAAAGCGUCUGAAUGUCACUUUUUAUGUCGGUCAUAAAAUCCAAGGGCUCAACCCUGAGUAGACGGUGGAAAUUAUCAAAUUGGAGUAUAGUAGGGGCAGAGGAAUUUUUGGUGGACCGAUUCAAUGUGUAGAUAACGAAAAGAAGACCAAAGGAGAAACCAUUCUUUUUGGGCCGACACUGAGAGUCGAAAGCUAGGGGAGAUAAUGGGAUUAAAUACCCAAAUAAUCCUAGUUGUAAAAUACGGAUACUAGGCGCUUUGUAUAUCGAAUCGUGCAGUGUUGUAGCUAAGGCGUUAUGUAUCUCGCCUGGAAAGUAUGUUCGCAAAAAUGAAACUCAAAGAAAUUGACGGGGCCCCGCACAAGCAGUGGAGCAUGUCGUUAAAUUAUAUAUAAAGUGGAGAAUCUUAUCAAGGCUUGAAAUGCUGCGAAUCCUCUUGAAAGAGAGGGGUUCCUUUGGGAACACGUAUAUAUGUGGUGCAUGAUUAUCGUCAGGUCAUGAUGUAAAGUGUUCGGUAAAGUCCCACAAUGAGUGCCACCCUCGUGUUAAGGAAUAUAGAUGGGGUGAUUCUGGUAAUAUCCAAUGUAGAUCCAACUUCUGAUUCACUCAUGAGAUCCGAGAGGACCACCACAAAUCCUCACUUCUUGAGAAUUCAUACAUUCCUUAUUAGUAUACGAACAACUAUCUGUCGAGCACAUAGU